rnacentral:rRNA from 1 species
AAUAGAACCCAGGUAGUCCACGCCGUAAACGAUGGAUGCUAGCUAUUGGGGGGAAUCGACCCCCUCCGAAGCGAAGCUAACGCGUUAAGCAUCCCGCCUGAGUAGUACGAGCGCAAGCUUAAAACUCAAAGGAAUUGACGGGGACCCGCACAAGCGGUGGAGCGUGUGGUUUAAUUCGAUGGUAAACGAAGAACCUUACCAAGGUUUGACAUCCCGGUAGCCGUUCUCCGAAAGGAGAAUUUCAUUUAGUUGGACCGGUGACAGGUGAUGCAUGGCCGUCGUCAGCUCGUGUCGUGAAAUGUUGGGUUAAGUCCCGCAACGAGCGCAACCCCUACUGUGUGUUGUAUCACUCACACGGGACUGCCGAGAGAAACUCGGAGGAAGGUGGGGAUGACGUCAAGUCAGCAUGGCCCUUACGUCCUGGGCUACACCCACGCUACAAUGGCCGGUACAACGGGCUGCGAAACCGCGAGGUGGAGCUAAUCCCUUAAAGCCGGUCUCAGUUCGGAUCGUAGGCUGCAACUCGCCUGCGUGAAGCCGGAGUUGCUAGUAACCGCGGGUC